rnacentral:rRNA from 1 species
UUGGAGGGCAGUCUGGUGCAGCAGUUGAGGUAAUUCCAGCUCCAAUAGCGUAUAUUAAAGUUGUUGCAGUUAAAAAGCUCGUAGUUGAACUUCGGGGUUUACCCAUUGGUCAGGCUUAAUUGUCUGCACUGGUGAGAUGAAUCUCUCUUCUUCUGAGGAACUUUCAUGCCAUUUAUUUGGUGUGAUGGGAAAUCAGGACUGUUACUUUGAAAAAAUUAGAGUGUUUAAAGCAGGCUAACGUCUGAAUACAUUAGCAUGGAAUAAUGAAAUAGGACGGACUGAUUCUAUUUCGUUGGUUUCUAGGAUCACCGUAAUGAUUAAUAGGGAUAGUUGGGGGCAUUAGUAUUCAAUUGUCAGAGGUGAAAUUCUUGGAUUUAUUGAAGACUAACUACUGCGAAAGCAUUUGCCAAGGAUGUUUUCAUUAAUCAAGAACGAAAGUUAGGGGAUCGAAGACGAUCAGAUACCGUCGUAGUCUUAACCAUAAACUAUGCCGACUAGGGAUCGGACGAAGUUAAUUUUAUAAUGACGCGUUCGGCGCCUUACGGGAAAC